rnacentral:piRNA from 1 species
UCGAGAAGAAGACCAAAGGGGUAACGUAAC